rnacentral:rRNA from 1 species
AUUGAACGCUGGCGGAAUGCUUUACACAUGCAAGUCGAACGGCAGCACGGACUUCGGUCUGGUGGCGAGUGGCGAACGGGUGAGUAAUUUAUCGGAACGUGCCCAGUCGUGGGGGAUAACGUAGUGAAAAUUACGCUAAUACCGCAUACGAUCUAUGGAUGAAAGCGGGGGAUCGCAAGACCUCGCGCGAUUGGAGCGGCCGAUAUCAGAUUAGGUAGUUGGUGGGGUAAAGGCCCACCAAGCCAACGAUCUGUAGCUGGUCUGAGAGGACGACCAGCCACACUGGAACGGAGACACGGUCCAGACUCCUACGGGAGGCAGCAGUGGGGAAUUUUGGACAAUGGGCGAAAGCCUGAUCCAGCCAUUCCGCGUGCAGGAUGAAGGCCCUCGGGUUGUAAACUGCUUUUGUACAGAACGAAAAGGUUUCUACUAAUACUAGGAGCUCAUGACGGUACUGUAAGAAUAAGUACCGGCUAACUACGUGCCAGCCGCCGCCGUAA